GUUGUAUGGUUAAGUGACUAAGCGUACACGGUGGAUGCCUUGGCAGUCAGAGGCGAUGAAGGACGUAUUAACUUGCGAUAAGCCCAGAUUAGACAGUAAAAGUCAUUUGAGUCUGGGAUUUCCGAAUGGGGAAACCCACUUACAUAAGUAAGUAUCUUG
rnacentral:rRNA from 1 species